rnacentral:rRNA from 1 species
UACAGGGGGUGCAAACGUUGCUCGGAAUUAUUGGGCGUAAAGAGCUCGUAGGCGGUUUGUUGCGUCGGCUGUGAAAACCUGAGGCUCAACCUCAGGCCUGCAGUCGAUACGAGCAGACUAGAGUGUUGCAGGGGAGACUGGAAUUCCUGGUGUAGCGGUGAAAUGCGCAGAUAUCAGGAGGAACACCGGUGGCGAAGGCGGGUCUCUGGGCAACAACUGACGCUGAGGAGCGAAAGCGUGGGGAGCGAACAGG